rnacentral:misc_RNA from 1 species
GAUGAAGAACGCAGCGAAAUGCGAUAAGUAAUGUGAAUUGCAGAAUUCAGUGAAUCAUCGAAUCUUUGAACACACAUUGCGCCCCUUGGUAUUCCGAGGGGCAUGCCUGUUCGAGCGUCAUUAUAACCCCUCAAGCUCAGCUUGGUGUUGGGGCCUGCUGCACUGGCAGCCCUUAAAAUCAGUGGCGGCGCCAUCUGGCUCUAAGCGUAGUAAUUCUUCUCGCUAUGGAGUCCUGGUGGAUGCUUGCCAUCAACCCCCAAUUUUUCUAUGGUUGACCUCGGAUCAGGUAGGGAUACCCGCUGAACUUAAGCAUAUCAAUAAGCGGAGGA